rnacentral:lncRNA from 1 species
GCGCGUCCAUUGUGACCAAUGAACCGAACUGCGACUCGACCAAGACUGUCUGCAAGCAAAGUUUUGAGACUGGAACUAGCGCAGUGAUCGUCACCCUUUCCCCUUCACUUUUUGACCUUAAUUCAUUCUCGGACAAAUUCACCGUUCGCCUCACCAUUGUCACCUCUGACAAUCGGAUCGGGUACUCUCAAAUCUCAAUCAAGAAAAACAAACCACCUACUGGCGGCACUUGCAG